rnacentral:lncRNA from 1 species
CGAGGGGCGGCCCGCCGGCGGUGCCCCUUCGCCCGGGAGGUUCCUUUCCCUCCGAGUCGUGUCCUCUCUCUCACUCGGUGUUGCAACGUGCGAGUGGCCUACAAGGAGGUUACGACGAGCUAAGACCUCAUCCCUAUAGAGCAUCAUGCUUCGGACAACCACUAGCCCUGGUGAUGCCAGGCUUUCAGAUGAGCGAGCACCAGGGAGGCUGCGCGUGAACAGCAUUUUCCGAACACCGAAUCGGCCCGACCUGAAGGACAGCGCAGCCGACUUCCACCUUCAGCGACCCUGGACGAAACUUUAUACUCGAGGCGCAGAUAUGCUCACCAUGUGGAGUGUGUCCCCCUGACAGAGCAAGUGCAGUAUCAACUGCAGAUGUGCUUGGAUAUCUGGAGGAGCUUUGGUUGUCCGUCUUCCUCUACCCAACUGACAUUCAUUUUUGGGUAAUAGUACAGCAAAGCCUGGAGUAGCAAUGGAAUCCCCCAUAAAUACCUUAUAAUAUCUACAAUGCAUUUACCAUAUGUUAAAUAUAUAGAAUAUCAAUCAUAUAACUGCUUUAAGUAUUUGUCAAGCAAUUUCCUCUUAAAAAUAUAAAUGACCCAAUCUUUAAACAAAUUUAAAAGUAUUUCUUGGAAUUACCAUAGUUUAUGUGAAAGUAUUAAUGGAAAUAUUUUAUUAGGCUUUUAGUUAUGUAGAAGUCAUAGCAUAUGCUGUGUUUACUAUAACAGAAACCUAAAUAAUAAUGAUUCUACUUUUCUUUCUUAAAAGUUCAAUAUCAUUAUAUUGAUUAUAGAUGAAUAAUAACAUUUUUCUUUAAAUGUAAAGACCUGAGUCUUAUGAAUUUUAAUACAUUUAUACUAUCAAGCAUUCUACAGGUUUAAUUAGGACCUGCUACAGAUGAAAGUUGCCUGCCCUCUGCAUACAUUCAGGACUUUCAUUGGAAGUAACUAUCCCCAUCAAAACAUGAAGAGGUGAAAAAGGGGAAGGCAACCAGUCCUUAUGGCUGAGAGUGCCACAGCACAAAGCAGCCACACUGGCACAUUGCAGAUGCUGCACAAGGUCUGGGUCCCCUUCCUCUUCCCAUUAUGCCUACAUAUUCUGCACAACCAGUACAUUACAGCAAAAGGUCAGCAUCUUGCUAUGUGUCAUGGCUCAUCCAAUCUAGUGUUUGGUAGAGUUUAAGGAUGGGCACCCUUCAAAGCUAUAUUUCCUGCUGGUGCUGGGAGGGAGUGGUGCCAUCUGUGGUUGUAAUUUUUAACUAAACCUAUCUUAGUAAAUAUACCAUAACCAUAGAAAUUAUAAUGAUUAUUUUCCAUCAUCAGUCACUCAAUAUAAUUAUCAUAUUAUUGUGACUAUAAAAAUAAAUAAGAGAAAACACUCUUAUGUGCAAAAGAUAUUGAUUUGCCCAGAUCAGCACAUUCACACUCAAAAGUUUUUUUUCUGUCAGCCAAAUCAAUUAUCAUGUGAUUAGGUAGCAGGGGCAAUGAGAUUUUCACUGUGCUACCAUUGUAGGAAAUCUUAAUAAUGCAGAAGUAUUUAGUCAUACAAUUUUCUUCUUCAGAACAAACAUAAAUUCCAAACAAAAAUCUGUCUAGCUAUAUUACACAGAGGGAGCUGCAUCUUUUCCAAUACAACAAAUAUCAUGAAAGUAGUUAUCAACAAUCCUCUUUAGCAAUGCCAAUACUUCAAAAGUAACACUUUAUACACAGUAACACCUUCAUAUGAACCUAAAACCAAUGCCAUAUUCUGAAAAUUUAGUACAUAUUAGUACUCACCUUUAACUGCAAAGUAGUAUUCACUUAAGCUGUGAAAAGAAAACAUAAAUGAUAAGGAAAUCAUUAGUUAGUUAGAUAAUACAAUAUUUAAAGUCAUCAAAAUGCUCAUAAAACAUAAGGGAUUAUACUUUUUAAAUAAUUUUAAGGAUUUAUAUAUCUCAUUGCCCUAAUAAUUUUGCUAUAUCCUAUUCAAAAUAAAAGAAAAAAAUGCCCAUCUUUUCUUUCUUCUUAUCAAUAAUAUUAAGAAGAUAAUUUAAUAGAAAUUACAGCAACAAAUAUUAACCCUAUGAUGACGGUGCGUCACACCCGUGUGACACAGCCAAACUCCCGAUGCCGGGGCGUCGUGCCAGUGUGACGAUUUCAAUGCAAUAUUGCAAUCGCCCGGCAUAGGGGUCUUCGCGUAGCGAGUGCCCCGUCGGGAAAGGGUUAAUUGAGAGUUCAACCACACCAUGCAUGAAUUAUUUUUAAAAGGCAGAAAAAACUCUUCAUAUAAUUUUUUAUGAAAGCAUUAAAAGCAGAAUUAUUUUUUUGCUUCAAAACAUAAACAGAUCAUACCUUCGGUUCUUUUGUUCCUCCUCCUCUGAUGAAUGAGUAGAACUACCAUA